UACGGAGGGUGCAAGCGUUGUCCGGAAUCACUGGGCGUAAAGGGCGCGUAGGCGGCUCAUGAAGGCUGUGGUGAAAGUCCGGGGCUCAACCUCGGAUCGGCCGUGGCGACUCGUGGGCUGGAGCACUGUAGAGGCGGGUGGAAUUCCUGGUGUAGCGGUGAAAUGCGCAGAUAUCAGGAGGAACACCGAUGGCGAAGGCAGGUCUCUGGGCCACUACUGACGCUGAGAAGCGAAAGCAUGGGGAGCGAACAGG
rnacentral:rRNA from 1 species